rnacentral:rRNA from 1 species
UACACGUGGCUAAUCCUGCCCUACGGAGGACGAAUACCCUCGGGAAACUGAGACUAAUAGUCCAUACGGCUCCCACGCCGGAUUGCGGGGAGCCCGAAACGGUCCGCCGCCGUAGGAUGAGGCUGCGGCCGAUUAGGUCGACGGUGGGGUAACGGCCCACCGUGCCGAUAAUCGGUACGGGUUGUGAGAGCAGGAGCCCGGAGACGGAAUCUGAGACAAGAUUCCGGGCCCUACGGGGCGCAGCAGGCGCGAAACCUUUACACUGCACGAACGUGCGAUAAGGGAACUCCGAGUGCGAGGGCAUACCGUCCUCGCUUUUCUGUACCGUAGGGUGGUACAGGAACAAGGACUGGGCAAGACCGGUGCCAGCCGCCGCGGUAAUACCGGCAGUCCGAGUGAUGGCCGAUAUUAUUGGGCCUAAAGCGUCCGUAGCUGGCCGGGUAGGUCCGUCGGGAAAUCCACUGGCCCAACCAGUGGGCGGCCGGCGGAAACCACCUGGCUCGGGACCGGAAGACCCGAGGGGUACGUCCGGGGUAGGAGUGAAGUCCCGUAAUCCUGGACGGACCGCCGAUGGCGAAAGCACCUCGGGAGGACGGAUCCGACAGUGAGGGACGAAAGCUAGGGUCUCGAACCGGAUUAGAUACCCGGGUAGUCCUAGCCGUAAACGAUGCUCGCUAGGUUGUGCCGCCGGCUACGAGCCGGCGGUGUGCCG